rnacentral:rRNA from 1 species
UACGGGGGGGGCAAGCGUUGUUCGGAAUUACUGGGCGUAAAGGGCUCGUAGGCGGCCAACUCAGUCAGAUGUGAAAUCCCUCAGCUUAACUGGGGAACUGCGUCUGAUACUGGAUGGCUUGAGUUUGGGAGAGGGACGCGGAAUUCCAGGUGUAGCGGUGAAAUGCGUAGAUAUCUGGAGGAACACCGGUGGCGAAGGCGGCGUCCUGGACCAACACUGACACUGAUGAGCGAAAGCCAGGGGAGCAAACGGG